rnacentral:rRNA from 1 species
UACGGAGGGUGCAAGCGUUAUCCGGAAUCACUGGGUUUAAAGGGUGCGUAGGCGGUUAGAUAAGUCCGUUGUGAAAGCCACCAGCUUAACUGGGAGGACUGCGAUGGAUACUGUUUAACUUGAAUCAGGAUGAGGCCGGCGGAAUGCGACAUGUAGCGGUGAAAUGCAUAGAUAUGUCGUGGAACACCGAUUGCGAAGGCAGCUGACUAGACCUUGAUUGACGCUGAGGCACGAAAGCGUGGGGAGCAAACAGG